CGCGGUGCUGCUGCGCCUGGAUUCUUGCUGUUACUGGCCGAGAUCCCGCCCGCUGCCCUCUGGAUUCCGAGGCCUCCGAGGCCCCCCCAUUGGAAACUGCGCCCACCGGGCUGGGUAGCCAAAACCUCAGUAUUCGUUGGUGCUGUGAGGACAUCUGGGGGUGCUCGGUUCUGGGGUCACACACGGUCCACUGGCUGCCCCCACCGUCUCCAAGGCGAUGAGCUGGAGAUGAUCCGGCCCAGCGUCUACCGCAACGUGGCGCGUCAGCUGCACAUCUCCCUGCAGUCUGAGCCUGUGGUGACCGAUGCGUUCCUGGCCGUGGCUGGCCACAUCUUCUCUGCAGGCAUCACGUGGGGCAAGGUGGUGUCCCUGUAUGCGGUGGCCGCGGGGCUGGCCGUGGACUGUGUGAGGCAGGCCCAGCCUGCCAUGGUCCACGCCCUCGUGGACUGCCUGGGGGAGUUCGUGCGCAAGACCCUGGCAACCUGGCUGCGGAGA
rnacentral:circRNA from 1 species